rnacentral:sRNA from 1 species
AAAAAAAGAAAGAAAGAAAGAAAAAAGAAGACAAUGUUAAAAUCUCUAGCCAUAGCAUAAAUAUAAAUUCUAAAUGCAUAAAAUUACAAUUAUUAUAUUUUUAACUCUUUAAACCAAAAUUGUAAUAAAAUGUAAUAAUUAAUAGCAUGUAUUGACAUUGCUAAAUUAUAUAUUGUACAUAUAUACACAUAACUCCUAAAUUAUAUACAUUAUACAGAUGUAAUAUAUAUGAUCACUUGCUUCCAUGAAAAGACUUAACUACGAUGCAGAAAAACAUGAAAUAAACUACAUUCACAAUUGCUGAACUCCAGCUAAUUAAGGAUUUUUUUUUCAAAUAUCUGACCCAUUUCAAUGUUCUAAAUGCAGUAUGAGUUUCAUUGUUCAAACAAAGGAAACGAAAUGCAGAAAUUGGUAGGGACGCUACACUACUGUAGUUUGCUAGAUACAUUAGUUGUGUCCAGUCUUUAACUCACAAGACAUUCCGGGUAAGAUGGGUUUAUGUGCCUAUUGGGUCACAAACAUUUAAAAACGUAACAAAAUACACAUUCUUUUUUCUCACAUGAGAAAAUAAUACACUUUCAGGCACAUCCAUAUAUAGUGAAAUAUCUUAUUAUUAUACAUAACUGAAGAGUUUUAGACAACCAAAUGGAUGUCUAUCCUGGACCACACAGAGCCCACUGGGGAGGGUGCAGCAUGGGGGCUGUCUGCUGUUUUCCUGCUUGCCUUUAUAAGCUCCUCAGAUAAACCAAAGACUUCCUUUCAAUUCACUUUUCCUCAAUUGGCUCGCAUCGGGGGCCUGGGCAUUCCCAGACUUUACCACCAGGAAUGAUGGCACAUUUGGGAUGCAGUCAUGGAGAUAGAAAAGAGAAGGGGAGUAGCCUAAGCCAGCAGCACUGUCUCUCACCAGUCAGCUGUGGAUCAGCCUAUAUUGGCCUUGGGAUUUAAAAACAAGUUUGAAAAAAAAAAAUUCUCUAGUUGCUCCUGGCAUAAUUUCUCAUAAAAGAAUCAUAUGGAGAAAAGGAGUGCCAGAUCUACAGCACCACAAAACACCCCACCCCAGACAUUUUGGGGUAUGCCUAAUGCAUUGUUUAUAUUGAUACUCGACUUGGAGCUAAUGUUAGCCACAUAGCAGCUGCAUCACUCCACUGAGGAAGCAUCACACAGACACUUCUGUCCCUAGUUUAGCAAUAGUCUGGCAGGGCAUCUGCUCCACGUUUUACAUUUUAUUUAGUAUUCUCUACUGUUGGACCCAUAGGUGAGACGGACACUGUUGUAGUUAGGAAUCUAGACCUGCCUUUCUGUCCACGUUUGGCUCUUAAAGGCAUAAAAAGCAGAAUGGCAAUUAAUACAAAGAAGCACUUUUAGAUUUCAAAAACCCAAACAUACGUUUUUUGGUUUUUUUUUUUUUUUUUUUACUCUGAAGACACCUCAAUAUAUAACAUGGUUCAUUUCUACAUGUCUCGGUACGUACUGCUCAGCAGUGCAGCAAGAGAAAAGAAACCAGUGACUGCUUUUUCUCAGUGGAUUUUACGAUUAGAUGACCAGAUCAAGAGCAGCAAAAUCCGGUUCUCACUUUGCUAAUCAUUUAAGUUAGUACAUGGUUUAGCAUGUGGCAGAUGAGUUACAGAGUUUUGGACACUAAAUCACUGGCUUCAAUCACACUGAGAUGUUUUUAAAAGGUGUUGACCUUGAUUACCUUUAUUUAUGAAUACAGCCAUCCGAAUAUCUCUGAAUUUAAAAUUGAGAUGCUCCGUACUAAGUUUAUGCAGAAGAAUAACACACACCAAUUUACAAGUCUUCCUUAGUUAUUGAAUUACCCCAAUUCUAAAGAGUGCAUAUUUUUACUGAAAUCUUUUCUAAGAGACUUGACUGUUUUUCACAUCUUUCUCUCUUCCUACACACAUCUUCAGAAUUAUUUCUGUAGUUUGUAGCAUUGACUGGGAACAAAGUUACAUAAUGUACCAAGAAACUUAUUUUCACCUCAACUGUGCUUCAUGGCACUCUGUACAUAGUCCUACUACAGCCAUUUAGUACUUCAUAUCCAAAUCAUCUGUUAUCUGCAAUUAUCUUACUGACUGAGAGGUGAACACUACAGUGGGGGAAAAUGGCCCAGCCUUAUCUAUCCUUAUAGAGUCUGGCCAUAGUUGAUACUAUUUCUUAACGAUAAGGGAAAUUACAAAAUAAUCAUCUAUUAUUGUAAAGUAAGACGUAUGUGUCAAAAGCAAAACGUGUAGGUCAACAGGUAAACCCUGGCAGUAAAACACAGCGUCAACAACAAGCAAGCUGUCCCGUGAAAUCAAGAAGAAUCCCCAAGGAGAGCAGCUUCACAGUGAUCUUGAGAUUGCGUGCUUUGGGGACAUGUAUUAACGAAUGAAAAAUAAAGGUGGCUCCGGGAAGGACAAACCUACCAAAUGCUUAAGAGACAGGGUAAGAGUCCGGGAUAAAUGGCCGCUCAUCACAAGGAAGACUCAGGCUGUAGAGUGUGUACCAAACUGAAUGUGUAGUUAACCUAACCCCCGGCCUACAUGACGGCCAUACAGAUACUGCAGAGUGUAGCACAUUUGUUGGUCCUGUUUACAAAUCUUUAGGGCAGGAAAAGUCUCAAACAUGACUACUACGCGAUCUCAUAUGUGAGUUUUACGAGCCUCUUAUCACCAAAUAUAGGUUAAUUCAGAAUUAUAAGGAACAUUCUUUACAGCUUUGACAGCAGUUCCCUUGAGGGUGGAAGAGGGGUCCUGGUAAAAGUAACAAUGUUAAAUGUUAAACCAAACUAGAUCACUGAAUUGAAAAACACCCCUACAUGUUCACAGUUCUUCACUGAGAAUGCAUAAGCACCACGCAUGUGACUCCCUAAUACAAGUGAAUAUCAACAUCUGACAUACGUAAACAUAUGUAAAUCUGGUACAUAGAAAAUAUAUCUUGGUCUUCAUUCAUGGUGGAGUGAAAAUUGUAUGAAUUAUUGUAUGUUCAAAUUUUUAGUCGAUACUUUGACUAGUAAGAGUUUUGAAAUAUAACUAAAGGGAUUUCUAAAACCUUCCAAGAUAGCAAUAUGGGUCUCUAAGCUGUGUUUAUUGUGUAGUCAUUAGAUUUUUGUCAAAUCACCUGCAGACAAACUGAAAAAAUCUUACUCAAAUCUGACAACAUAUAUCUAGAAAACAUUUACUACACAUAACCACUAAAAACCAAAGAAAAGGAUACAACUAUGAAAAUCAGAAUCAAAAAACUCAAAAGAUUUUGUCAGCAUCAGAAAACAAAAUACAGCUCAUCCCAAUGGCAUUUAUUAUGAGAUAUCACAUGAAAACACAUGAGAGCUAAAUCCAAUUUCCAGAAACAAAAUGUUGGCUAUCUUGGAAAACAUAUGCACUUUACUGGGACGACCUGCGCAACCGACUCUCCCCAAGAGGGAAGACACAAGCAAUUGUUUUGACUUAGGGGAUUCAUUCCACACUGUGGUCUCAUCUUUGUUAAAGAAACUUAUCAAAUUAUUUACAGAAGACUUUCAGGGAACAGGAAAGACACUGAAUUAGAAACGAUACAGAGGUAUGAAGGACUCGAUUCACAGAAUUAGCACAAUGGCAGACACUGUAGAUGAUAAUCCUGCAGUGAACGUAAGAUGCCGUCUUUGGUGUCUCGUCUAUGAACUCCUGAAAUGGCCAUCAUCAUCCUCUCAUGUGCAAAGACACUAAGGCAAAUCUCUCCCACGUAGUCCCCAGAUACUAACUCAUCUGUUUGUGUCCCGUGGCCAUUACACUAUGCAACAUUGCUUUCUGACAAAGUCAGGUGUCCGUUCAACCUUGGAAAGAACUUUUGGGAUGGAACUUUAUUAAGGUAAAUGUAUUUGCUUCAGGAGGCAAUGAAUUCACCAUAUGCCACAUAAACUAUAUCAUAACCUAGCCAAUGUUGACAUGGGGACUUGUGUACUGAGUGAGUAAGUGGUUUGUCAGAGGCAACAACCUCAAAUUCUCUAGAUCUCUCUUCUUAGGAAGCAAAAAGUAGUUCCCAGAUAACACUACAGAGAACAUUAUGAGGGAAAGUGGUUUGAAACUCUCAAGAAAGUUGAGAUGCAUUUAGUAAUACAGCAAAAGGGUUUGGUAGAUUUUAUGCAUAGUCCAACCAUGACUUUAAAACUCACUCUAUGUCUACUUCUUACUCUGGGUAAACCAUAGUUUUUCCACUAACAGAGUGAAUAGAUUCUUUAUCUCUCAAUGAAGGAGAACAAAACUGCAGUGAGUGCCAAAAGAACAUCUGUUGGUCAUUAAAAAAUAAAUAAAUAAAUAAAUUCAUCCUGUGACAGUGGCUUCAAGGCCAAAAGUGAUUGGUGCUUUGGCUUUUAACUCAAUUACCAACCAGAACUACAGGGUGUCAAGUAAACAUAGAUGAAGUCAUUCAGUUGAAGCAGGAACCAAAGUAAAAUACUUCACCUACGAAAGUCAGGUAGUAAAACAGUGAGAGGUACUGGAAGAAUGGCUCAGUCCGUGCAGCUACGAAUCGGUGCUCAUUUCAUAAUGAAUUAGGCAUUCCAAUAUGUUAGGUCAUAUAAUGUCAACAUUCUAAUUAUAUUAAUACUUUCCAGGGGAAUCAUACUAUUGGCCAUUCAGAUUAACACACUGCUUUUCCUUCAAGGAAUAUAGGUACUCUUUUAAGAAACUUGAGCAACACUAGGUAAUACAGCGCAAAGAUUUGGUAAGUUUAUACAAAGUCUGCUGUAUAGUUAAGGUAGCCAUAUCUUUAAUAGAUUGACGAGAGCAUGAAGACCACAGAAAAUGGUAAUUUAGAAAAAUUUGCUUUCAAUUACUUUGCACUAGUUUCAACUUUAUUAAUAAAUUACUAACAUGCUGGUUUUGAUAUCUCUUCCAAAACAUGUAGGAAGGUAUUUCCUCUGCUAAAGAAAAAAAAUAUCUGAAACAAUUAGGCUCAGGCAUGUUAGUUAAGUCUAGGUAUACUACUAUGUUGCAUUUGAACUAAUUGCUUGCUUUCUGGUGAAGAACUCAUAUCAGUGGACAGAAUAAAUAGGCAAGCUUCAGGUUGAAUCUAUUAAUAUAUUAGAGCAAAGACGACAGCGUCUGAUCAAUAGCACUCACAGAGCAUGAGUAAUUUGCUAUACCCUGGUCUGUGUGAUUGACCUACCUUAGACUUUUCAUCCUAAUGGCAAACAUUCAUGCCUAGUUUAUGGAGGAGGAGACUGAAGCCUGAACUCUUGCCCAACUGUACACAGAAGCAGCCCAGGCAGCAGAAGCCCAGGUCUUAGCCACAGGAUUAGAGUCCUGGAAUCUAAAUGCUUCCCGGUACUCUUUACUUUAGCUUUCUCUGUGAAAAACAUUUCAACUUCAUGUCCCUGUAUUUCUACUGCAGGUGAAUUUUACAUGCCAUCCCAUGGUGUAUCAGGUGAAUUUUACAUGCCAUCCCAUGGUGUAUCAGGUGAAUUUUACAUGCCAUCCCAUGGUGUAUCAGGUGAAUUUUACAUGCCAUCCCAUGGUGUAUCAGGUGAAUUUUACAUGCCAUCCCAUGGUGUAUCAGGUGAAUUUUACAUGCCAUCCCAUGGUGUAUCAGGUGAAUUUUACAUGCCAUCCAAUGGUGUACAGCUGACACUUGCAUCCAUUAGAACUCCCGAACAAGAAUAAUUCUUGAGUCCAAUGUCCACAUUCGUAACUGUGAUUUAUUUAUGCAACGCUAGCUGUUUUCCAGCUGACAGUAAUACCAUCUUUGUUUAAUGUAUGUGCAGAUGUGGAUGUAUGACUGUAAUUUGCUUUCGAGCCCCCUUUUACCAGGGGCCAAAGUGAAAGUGAAAUAUACUGCGUGCUGUAUACAGGUCCUGGAUUUCUUUGAUUUAUUUUUCCCAUUUUUAAUGAUUGUUAUCACCAUCCGAAUGAUCCUAUUUGCAUGCAAGAUGAUUUCUAAUGAUGAUAACUAUUUGUAAUAGUCUACACCAGAAAGAUCCCCAGCUAGCUCUUACCUGCUUUGCAAAGGACCCCAGGGGGCUCUCUGGGAAACACCAAAUAUCAUAAACUGCAGGUGGCUUGUAGAAUGAGUCUAACUGCAAGCAAUAGCACUUCAUAGUAAUGAAAGAGAAAUGUAUUUAUUUCUUAACUAAGUAGGUAAAUGGCCUUUUUUAUUGUUAAUCCUUGGGGAGCCACACUUAGGAAAA